CAAAGAUUAAGCCAUGCAUGUCUAAGUAUAAGCAAUUUAUACAGUGAAACUGCGAAUGGCUCAUUAAAUCAGUUAUCGUUUAUUUGAUAGUUCCUUUACUACAUGGUAUAACUGUGGUAAUUCUAGAGCUAAUACAUGCUUAAAAUCUCGACCCUUUGGAAGAGAUGUAUUUAUUAGAUAAAAAAUCAAUGUCUUCGGACUCUUUGAUGAUUCAUAAUAACUUUUCGAGUCGCAUGGCCUUGUGCUGGCGAUGGUUCAUUCAAAUUUCUGCCCUAUCAACUUUCGAUGGUAGGAUAGUGGCCUACCAUGGUUUCAACGGGUAACGGGGAAUAAGGGUUCGAUUCCGGAGAGGGAGCCUGAGAAACGGCUACCACAUCCAAGGAAGGCAGCAGGCGCGCAAAUUACCCAAUCCUAAUUCAGGGAGGUAGUGACAAUAAAUAACGAUACAGGGCCCAUUCGGGUCUUGUAAUUGGAAUGAGUACAAUGUAAAUACCUUAACGAGGGACAAUUGGAGGGCAAGUCUGGUGCCAGCAGCCGCGGUAAUUCCAGCUCCAAUAGCGUAUAUUAAAGUUGUUGCAGUUAAAAAGCUCGUAGUUGAACUUUGGGCCCGGUUGGCCGGUCCGAUUUUUUCGUGUACUGGAUUUCCAACGGGGCCUUUCCUUCUGGCUAACCUUGAGUCCUUGUGGCUCUUGGCGAACCAGGACUUUUACUUUGAAAA
rnacentral:rRNA from 1 species